rnacentral:rRNA from 1 species
AUUGAACGCUGGCGGCAUGCUUUACACAUGCAAGUCGAACGGCAGCGCGGGCUUCGGCCUGGCUGCGCGUGGCGAACGGGUGAGUAAUGCAUCGGAACGUGCCCAGUAGUGGGGGAUAGCAAGGCGAAGGCAGGAUUAAUACCGCAUACGACCAGAGGGUGCAAGAGGGGGAGCGAAGGACCUCGCGCGAUGGGAGGGGUGGAUGUGGGGCUAGCUAGUUGGUGGGGUAAAGGCUUACCAAGGCGACGAUCCGUAGCUGGUCUGAGAGGACGAGCAGCCACACUGGGACUGAGACACGGCCCAGACUCCUACGGGAGGCAGCAGUGGGGAAUUUUGGACAAAGGGGGCAACCCUGAUCCAGCCAUGCCGCGUGCGUGAAGAAGGCCUUCGGGUUGUAAACCGCUUUUGUUCGGGAAGAAAUGCUCUGGGCUAAUACCCCGGGGGGAUGACGGUACCGGAAGAAUAAGCACCGGCUAACUACGUG